AAAACCGUGGACGCAGAACGAACUGCGUCUCUGCAUCUCUCAUAUAUGUUAGGCGAACACGAAGCCCAUUACACAUUUCACACCAAAAAAAAAACUCAGUCUCUCUUUUCUCUUGCCGUUCCUCCGUCUCCACCGCGCACGGCGCUUCCGUCCUGUGCCGUUGAUCAUCUCUUCUUAGGGAUCAUUGAUCUCUAGAAGCCACUCAAGUUCGUCUCACGAGGCUUUGUAGAUACAGAUUGUGAAGGUUGUUUCCGAAAACGGCGCCGAGGAAGAAGUAUUCUGUGUUUUUACGACGAUUUGUCGAUAGAGAUUGUGGAGUUAGUGGGAUUUUCAAUGGCUACAGGGCCGGUUAAGUCUCAUCCUUUGCACAACUUCGCUCUGCCAUUUCUGAAAUGGGGUGGGAAGAAUCAGACCAACAGUAAUCACCGCAUUCGGCGGGAAAUUGGCGGCGACUCAUCACCUGCCGUCGAUCAUUCUGAACCGGAGUCUGAAGCAGACUCCAAGCAUCAACCUCGAGUUGGAUCGCGCACCGCUCGGAAUAGAUUGCCGUUUUCACCAUGCUCACUGGGAGAUAAAUCCGCGAAGCAUUCUGAAGGUGAGGUCGGAGAAGAAGUUGUGAAGGAGCAGAAGCGGGAAGGUGAGGAGGUCGAGGGGGAGGAAAUAGUGCAGAAGCCUUGGAAUCUCAGGCCGCGGAAGGGCCCGUCCUUGAGAGGCUUUGGUGAUUUGAAGAAUGGACGAGACUUGCAAGAACAGGACGGGGCUGUUUCUUCCGCUGCUGGUGCGUUUCAGCAAGGGGAGAAUCCGCAGCCGAAAUCGCUCCGGUUGCGAGGAUUUACAGAGUCGCAUAGGAUUGAGAAGAAGGAGAAGAGAAAGUUCUGGAUCGCUUUGUCUAAAGAUGAGAUUGAGGAAGAUAUUUUUAUCAUGACUGGAUCUAGACCUUCCAGACGGCCGAAGAAGAGACCUAAGAAUGUUCAGAAGCAACUCGAUAGUGUGUUUCCUGGACUGUGGUUGGUCGGUGUUACAGCAGACGCCUAUCGUAUUGCCGAUUCUCCGGCCAAGAGAUAGGCAUGAUGACGAUGGAUAUUUUUUGAUCAUUGAAGUUGGAAUAUUUUGCCUGCCCUGCCUUGAUUGGGAGCCUUGUUGGAGGCUUCCCUAGAUUGCUGGGGACUAGAUUUUCAAGAGCUUGGUUUCUUAUGCAAUUGCUAUAUCUUGUAGCAGGCAGUCCAUUCUUUUUCAGAUAGAUCUUUCACUCGCAUUCUUCAAGCUGAUGCUGAUGGUGAUAUUUUUCCAUCCUUCCUUAAUGUUUUGCGAUUUUUGAUCGUUCUUACUGCAUUUGAAUGGCUGAAAGCAGCUUCUUGCGAGUCAGUUUUUGCACCAAAUCUUUUUCUUGCUAGUAAAAUGCUGAUAGUACUUUCAAGUUCUGCACCAUUUUUUUUUUUUAUAUGGGGACUUCGGGAUAUCUGAGCAUUAAUUUCAUGGCCUUCACUUUUUUGUUUUCCUUUUACUCAAAUCCUUUUGUGGGUUUGCCUUCAAAUACUGAUUAAUUUAGUUGUUUUGGCCUUAAUUUUGAUUGGAAUUCCAAAAAUCUCAAAGUGUUCAUUCUUCUGUUUUGUUCUGCAUGUUAUGAGAGGCUAGGCAGCUUUCGUAUAAAAAUUUGUUCUUGAAGACUGCUCUCAUCUUAGUUAACACUUUUGUUAAUUGCUAAUCUAUAAGAUGCCGUGUAUGUUUUCAUGUCUGUAAAUCAUGGUUUCUGUGGUUUUGGUGAAAGACAAACCCUUUUCUGUAUCCCUUGUCUGUGAGUAUUAACAAUUCUCUGCUUGAAUUUUUCUUCCUUUGAGAACCU